UUCAAGAACAAAUAAAAGUAGUUCCUUUUCCAUAGGAUAACUAAGAUAUCUAUCUCUCUCCCUAAGCAAGAAUUUGAAUUUGAAUUUCAAUUGGGAUUGCUUUCUUCUGUUCUUCGAAAUGGGGAGGAAGAGGAAGGAAGUAGAAAAGGUCCGGUUUUGGGUUUGAACAGUGGUAUAAAGCAACAAGAGGAACCAAACAAGAAACUUCUAAAAACCAUCACAAUACUAGUAUACAAGAGAGAGAAAAAGUUGACCAAAAGCCAAUAGUCCUUGUCUUAUAUUUAACUGACCAGAAACAAAGAAAGAAACUCACUCCACUCCAUGUUUUAUCUGUCCCAUUUUUCACUGUCGGUAAUUCGUGGAGCCCGCCACCGUUUCAACCUCCGGCUGACCCACCGCGCCCACCUGUGCCAGCCUGGCUACUGAUGCUUCCUUCUUCAACCAUUAAAUAAAAAUAUAUCAUUGGAGGGAACCACCUCAACCACCACUCGCGGGGAAACUACACGCUGUCGUUUUAGCCCUCCUUAAACGACGUCAUUUUGACUUCUCGGUUGCUAUAUAAAUGAGCUUACUGCUUCGCAAACCCUAAUCAGCGAGCUUGAGAACGGGAGUACUUGCUAUGGCAAGGAAGUGGAGGAGGACAUGUUAAAAAUGGAACUGGAAUAAUAAUGGAAAAACAAAACAAUCUUUUAUCUUCCAGUGCAUAUAGUAUAGCAAUUGCCAUCUAACUUUCCAAGUUUUCAUUUUUCAUGCUUCAAUAUUACGCUACCAUAUUGAAAAUAAAGAGAAAAACAAAAACAUGGAAAAACUCAAAAGAUGGGCGAAAACUAUAAGUGCCUAGAGGAUUGGUGAAACCAGUUAAUAUACUCAAAAAAACUAUUCUUACCAAAUGGAAUUUCCAACAAGGAAACAUAUAAUUUUAAGAUUGCCGUCUGAUAAUACAAGCAAAUUAAAAAAUGGCAGAAUUACAUCAUAUGGCACGAAUAAGGCAACAUAUGAUUCUCAUAAAAAGGCCCUUUCAUUGACAAAAUAAAAAAAUCAACAUCGCCUAUAUAGGUAGCCUCUAAGGACCCAUUUAGACACAGAUGAUAUUUCAAAGAACACCAAGACCAUACCUAUCAAUAAUUACAAAGACCUUGAAGUGGAGGCGAUGGCCAACAAAAAACCCUAAUUCUAGUUGUGGGAUUCCAAAAAGAAUUCUUCAAGAACAAAUAAAAGUAGUUCCUUUUCCAUAGGAUAACUAAGAUAUCUAUCUCUCUCCCUAAGCAAGAAUUUGAAUUUGAAUUUCAAUUGGGAUUGCUUUCUUCUGUUCUUCGAAAUGGGGAGGAAGAGGAAGGAAGUAGAAAAGGUCCGGUUUUGGGUUUGAACAGUGGUAUAAAGCAACAAGAGGAACCAAACAAGAAACUUCUAAAAACCAUCACAAUACUAGUAUACAAGAGAGAGAAAAAGUUGACCAAAAGCCAAUAGUCCUUGUCUUAUAUUUAACUGACCAGAAACAAAGAAAGAAACUCACUCCACUCCAUGUUUUAUCUGUCCCAUUUUUCACUGUCGGUAAUUCGUGGAGCCCGCCACCGUUUC
rnacentral:lncRNA from 1 species